AACGAACGCUGGCGGCAUGCCUAACACAUGCAAGUCGAACGAGACCUUCGGGUCUAGUGGCGCACGGGUGCGUAACGCGUGGGAACCUGCCCUUAGGUUCGGAAUAACUCCCCGAAAGGGGUGCUAAUACUGGAUAAUGUCUUCGGACCAAAGAUUUAUCGCCUUUGGAUGGGCCCGCGUUGGAUUAGCUAGUUGGUAGGGUAAAAGCCUACCAAGGCGACGAUCCAUAGCUGGUCGGAGAGGAUGAUCAGCCACACUGGGACUGAGACACGGCCCAGACUCCUACGGGAGGGAGCAGAGGGGAAUAUUGGACGAUGGGCGAAAGCCUGAUACAGCAAUGCCGGGUGAGUGAUGAAGGCCUUAGGGUUGUAAAGCUCUUUUAGACGGGAUGAUAAUGACAGUACCGGGAGAAUAAGCUCCGGCUAACUCCGUG
rnacentral:rRNA from 1 species